UACGUAGGGGCAAGCGUUGUCCGGAAUCAUUGGGCGUAAAGAGCGUGUAGGCGGCCUCAUCAGUCCGCUGUGAAAGUCCAGGGCUCAACCCUGGAAUGCCAGUGGAUACUGUGAGGCUAGAGUCCGGAAGGGGCGAGUGGAAUUCCUGGUGUAGCGGUGAAAUGCGCAGAUAUCAGGAGGAACACCGAUGGCGAAGGCAGCUCGCUGGGACGGUACUGACGCUGAGACGCGAAAGCGUGGGGAGCAAACAGG
rnacentral:rRNA from 1 species